rnacentral:rRNA from 1 species
GUCCACGCCCUAAACGAUGUCAACUAGUUGUUCGGUGAGGAGACUCAUUGAGUAACGCAGCUAACGCGUGAAGUUGACCGCCUGGGGAGUACGGCCGCAAGGUUAAACUCAAGGAAUUGACGGGGACCCGCACAAGCGGUGGAUGAUGUGGAUUAAUUCGAUGCAACGCGAAAACCUUACCUACCCUUGACAUGCCAGGAACUUGCCAGAGAUGGCUUGGUGCUCGAAAGAGAGCCUGGACACAGGUGCUGCAUGGCUGUCGU